rnacentral:rRNA from 1 species
UACGUAGGCAGCAAGCGUUGUUCGGAGUUACUGGGCGUAAAGGGUGCGUAGGUGGCUCUAUAAGUAUGGUGUGAAAUCUCCCGGCUUAACUGGGAGGGUGCGCCGUAGACUGUGGGGCUAGAGUGUGGGAGAGGAAAGUGGAAUUCCUGGUGUAGCGGUGAAAUGCGUAGAUAUCAGGAGGAACACCGGUGGUGUAAACGGCUUUCUGGACCAUAACUGACACUGGAGGCACGAAAGCGUGGGUAGCAAACAGG